rnacentral:rRNA from 1 species
GUGUCAGCAGCCGCGGUAAUACGAAGGGUGCAAACGUUGCUCGGAAUCAUUGGGCGUAAAGCGCACGUAGGCGGCUUUGCAAGUCGGAUGUGAAAUCCCUCGGCUUAACCAAGGAAGUGCAUCCGAAACUGCAUGGCUUGAGUACUGAAGAGGAUCGCGGAAUUCCCGGUGUAGAGGUGAAAUUCGUAGAUAUCGGGAGGAACACCAGUGGCGAAGGCGGCGAUCUGGGCAGAUACUGACGCUGAGGUGCGAAAGCGUGGGGAGCAAACAGGAUUAGAUACCCGAGUAGUCC